AGACAAUCACUUCGGUUGGCUUGGAAACAGAUGCAACCAGAGUCAAACCAUAAGACAAGACAGAAAUUUCACCCAAUACUUUGAUUAAAGCCUUGUUGGGUACCCAGAGGACUCUGCUAAGUCAUGCCCAAGUUCUAACCCACAGGAGCUACAUCACUUCAUAACCAAGGAAUUAGAGAGAGACCAAUGACAGACCCCACUAACAAAUCUACUAGCUGUCUCUGCAGAAGCCUGGACUCAAGGUCAACUGGAACAAGCAAGGCCCUGCAUUCCUUACCUGAAAUAACAAGCCCAAGACCCUAUCUAGUUUGUAACAUCCCUGGAAGCAGGUCCAUAACCCCUUCUCCUUGCCCUAAGAUAACCUCCUCAUGUCAGGGCCUGAAUUUUGCCUCUUUCUAAUGUUCUCUCCACCCCAAAGUGAACAGGGACUAUAUGGCACAUACAUGUUUGAUCAUUGUACAUGUUCCAACAUUCCUCAUGAAUAGUCAUAAGUUCCCCCAUCCUUUUCAUCAGUAUGUAUGUCAUUUCAACUGCUAUGAUUAUAAAAAAUCUGUUCUCUCCCCUUUCAGGGAGGCAGAUUGGAAACCUGCCCUCCUGUCUCCUCAUCUGACUGCCUCUUGAAUA